rnacentral:rRNA from 1 species
GACGAACCGUGCGAACGUUGUUCGGAAUCACUGGGCUUAAAGGGCGCGUAGGCGGGUGGGCAAGUCUGUGGUGAAAGCCUCCAGCUUAACUGGAGAAGUGCCGUGGAUACUGCUCAUCUUGAGGAGGGUAGGGGCAUCUGGAACGGUCGGUGGAGCGGUGAAAUGCGUUGAUAUCGACCGGAACUCCGGUGGCGAAGGCGAGGUGCUGGACCCUUUCUGACGCUGAGGCGCGAAAGCCAGGGGAGCAAACGGG